GAUGAACGCUGGCGGCGUGCUUAACACAUGCAAGUCGAACGAAGCACUUCUUUAAGCUUGCUUUUAAAAGUGACUGAGUGGCGGACGGGUGAGUAACGCGUGGGUAACCUACCUCACACAGGGGGAUAACAGUUAGAAAUGACUGCUAAUACCGCAUAAAAUGGCAGUUUCGCAUGAAACAACCAUCAAAGAUUUAUCGGUGUGAGAUGGACCCGCGUCUGAUUAGCUAGUUGGUAAGGUAACGGCUUACCAAGGCGACGAUCAGUAGCCGACCUGAGAGGGUGACCGGCCACAUUGGGACUGAGACACGGCCCAAACUCCUACGGGAGGCAGCAGUGGGGAAUAUUGGACAAUGGGCGCAAGCCUGAUCCAGCGACGCCGCGUGAGCGAUGAAGUAUUUCGGUAUGUAAAGCUCUAUCAGCAGGGAAGAUAAUGACGGUACCUGACUAAGAAGCACCGGCUAAAUACGUGCCAGCAGCCGCCGUAAGAC
rnacentral:rRNA from 1 species